GGGGGCAAUGAGGAGAUAUUGGCCAAAGAGUAUAAACUUCCAUUUAAAAGAUAAAUAAGUUCUGGGGAUCUAAUUACAGCAUGGUGACUAUAGAUCUGAAGAGCA